rnacentral:lncRNA from 1 species
UCCAGAUUCAACCAGCAUAUCAGUGAUUUCCUCGCCAUUUCCCUCUUUGAAACAGACUUUCUUUGUAUUACGAUCUACAUCCGUCCGAGAACCAUCACCAUUAUCGACUUCCAGAUAAGAAAUAUUAUCACCAGAGUUCAGAGAGAUUUCCAUUUUUUUCUGCAGAGAAAUUUGAAGUAUUAUAAUUUUAGUUUAAUUUGGUAAAUAAUUAAAUCCUCUUUACUGAUCAACAUUUAAGUAAAAAUGAAUAGUUAACUUGUCACUUUAUUACUUGAUUAAUAAAUGCAUAUGCGUUUACAAAUCAAUCAUCUAAUGUUUGGCAUUAUUUCAUGGAUCAAAUUUUUUAAGUUAUAUCAUGCUAAUAUUAUUCUUUAGCUCAUAUAUUUUCUUUUUGUUUGUAAGGUAUUUUAGAAUUGCAUACGCAAUUUUAGAUCAAAUUCUUUAAUACUAUUUGACCAGAAAAAGAAAUGACAUGAUACAAAAACUAAAGAGCAAUUAAGAGUAGGUUUGGAUGGGCAGUGCGUUUACCUACGGUUAGUGUAAAAACAACGGUGGCAGUGAAAUUAGAUAAUGUAGCGUGAGACAAAAAGUAAGCUACACACAUCGCAUCACACCGUAUUCCACCGCUCAUCCAAACCCACCUUAAAUAAACAAGCAAUUGAGAUGGGAAAUGAUAAUCCCAAGAAUGUUGGAUCCAAUCCACCAAUUAUUUAUAACCAAUCAUGUUAAGUAAAUUCACGUUAGAAAUCAAGAAUGUACCAACAACUUAAAGGAGUCAAUGGUUAAGAGUUUUUCGUUGACAUUUGAAGUCUAAGCUUCAAGUCCCGGCAAAAAAUCCCCUCCCCAAUAUGUUUUGUACAAAAAAAAAAUAAUUAAGAAGUAUAUUACUUACAACACACUAUUGUAUGAGCGAAGCCUUCGCUCUAAUAUCUGGUUCAGAAUAAUAACACACUAUUGUAUGCAAUCAAUCUCAAACUGUUUAAUUUUUCUCUAGAUGAAAGAGCUAAGGAAUGACUCAACUCUCAUGUAUUAACUUAAGUAGCAAUCUCAUUCCUAUACUUCACUAAGAUCACUCUUCUAUUAAGAUUUUCUCCUUAAAAAUUUUUACAAUAUAUUUUCACUAAAACAAUUUCCUCUCUCUAUAAAUAAAAUAAGUGCUCCUUAAACUAUACAUAAAUAAAAUAAAUAAACCUUCUUUAAAUAAGAAAUCAUAGACUUGUAGAUCACCAUUUAGUAUAAUUGAAUCAUGACAUUGAACUUAUGCCAAAUAGCUUUUUGAUAAGGCAUGAAAAUGACAAGAAAUCUUCAUUAUUUAGUCUUCGAUAGGAACCGAAUCUCUUCGAAAAUCGUCAAAUCUAGUUGUUUGUUAUUCAAAAUCUUUAAAUUCUUUAAAUAUUGUCCUUACCUGAUUGAUAUUUUUAAUAUGAUUUAAUUUAAUUAUUUGUUACUCACUCAAAAUCUUCACAAAGAUGGAAAAAAAAAAAACAAUCACAAUAUUUAAGUCAGAACAUGUCAAUGUAUAAGACAAGUUAUACAAUAAUCUAGUUACAAGGAGAAUUGCAGUAAACUGUGCAACAAAUGCCAACUAUAUCAUUUUCAAAUCAAGUCAUAAGUAAUCAAUACUGUUGUUUCUUUCGACAAUUAAAAUUUUCUAGUUUAAGAUGAAACGAGAACAAAAGAAUUUUCAUUAUAUUCAUGAAAAAAUUUGAUUCUUUGUAAUCCAAACUAGUUUGAUUGAGUUCACAUGAAUCAUUGCAACCUGGUAUGAUAGGAUUCCAAACACAUGAAUACUUGUAAUCACCUAUAAAUCAAUUCAAAACUUACUUUUUUGGACAAAAAAAUCAUGUAUUGCAUUAAUAGGUUGGUUUUUCUGCAGAGAGAGUUGGACACUACUAUGUACCCCAAAGCUGGUUACGUUUAGUUGAAAUAAAACCUAUAGGUUGCGCCUUCAUUGAUGUGCUUUGGUUGUGCAGCUUGGGGACUCGAGCCUCAACCACCGGGGAAGAAAGCUUGGACCACACCAGACGGUGCAGUGUCUCAUGCCAUUAAAUUU